AACGUAGGACACAAGCGUUAUCCGGAGUUACUGGGCGUAAAGGGCGUGCAGGCGGUUUCUUAAGUCAGGCGUGAAACCAUUCGGCUAAACCGGGUGUAGUCGUCUGAGACUGGGAGACUAGAGUGUGGUAGAGGCGUGUAGAAUUCCGGGUGUAGUGGUGAAAUGCGUAGAUAUCCGGAGGAAUACCAGUGGCGAAGGCGGCACGCUGGGCCAUUACUGACGCUAAGACGCGAAAGCAUGGGUAGCGAACGGG
rnacentral:misc_RNA from 1 species